rnacentral:rRNA from 1 species
AUUGAACGCUGGCGGCAGGCCUAACACAUGCAAGUCGAGCGGAGCGGCGGACGGGUGAGUAAUGCCUAGGAAUCUGCCUGGUAGUGGGGGAUAACGUCCGGAAACGGGCGCUAAUACCGCAUACUAUUAGAUGAGCAUAGGUAGGAUUAGCUAGUGGGUGGGGUAAAGGCCUACCAAGGCGACGUACCGUAACUGGUCUGAGAGGAUGAUCAGUCACACUGGAACUGGGAAAGGGUCCAGACUCCUCCGGGAGGCGGCAGUUGGGAAUAUUGGACAAUGGGCGAAAGCCUGAUCCAGCCAGGCCGCGUGUAUGAAGAAGGCCUUCUGGUUGUAAAGUACUUUCAGCGGGGAGGCGUUACCCGCAGAAGAAGCACCGGCUAACUCCGUGCCAGCAGCCGCGGUAAUUC